GAUGAAGAACGUAGCGAAAUGCGAUAAGUAAUGUGAAUUGCAGAAUUCAGUGAAUCAUCGAAUCUUUGAACGCACAUUGCGCCCGUCAGUAUUCUGGCGGGCAUGCCUGUUCGAGCGUCAUUACGCCCCUCAAGUCCCCUGUGGACUUGGUGUUGGGGAUCGGCGAGGCUGGUUUUCCAGCACAGCCGUCCCUUAAAUUAAUUGGCGGUCUCGCCGUGGCCCUCCUCUGCGCAGUAGUAAAACACUCGCAACAGGAGCCCGGCGCGGUCCACUGCCGUAAAACCCCCCAACUUUUUAUAGUUGACCUCGAAUCAGGUAGGACUACCCGCUGAACUUAAGCAUAUCAAUAAGCGGGA
rnacentral:misc_RNA from 1 species